rnacentral:rRNA from 1 species
GAUGAACGCUGGCGGCGUGCCUAACACAUGCAAGUCGAGCGAGGGUUUGCUCAGUAUUGAGUAUUCUAAAACUAGAAUGUUCAAUUCUGAGCAAAACCAAGCGGCGGACGGGUGAGUAACGCGUGGGUAACCUGCCCUAUACACAUGGAUAACAUACUGAAAAGUUUACUAAUACAUGAUAAUAUAUAUUUGUGGCAUCGCAGAUAUAUCAAAGUGUUAGCGGUAUAGGAUGGACCCGCGUCUGAUUAGCUAGUUGGUGAGAUAACUGCCCACCAAGGCGACGAUCAGUAGCCGACCUGAGAGGGUGAUCGGCCACAUUGGAACUGAGACACGGUCCAAACUCCUACGGGAGGCAGCAGUGGGGAAUAUUGCACAAUGGGCGAAAGCCUGAUGCAGCAACGCCGCGUGAACGAUGAAGGUCUUCGGAUCGUAAAGUUCUGUUGCAGGGGAAGAU